GAGAACAUACAAAAUCCUUCAAAUCUUAACAUCGAAUUGAAUAAAAAAAUAAUAUCCAAGUAACUUCUAAUUUCAACUACCCAAUUAAGAUGGCAUGUUCAAAAUACAUAGUUUCAACAAGAGAUAAGAUUGUGUCAAAAAAAAAAAACAAAGAGAUAAGAUAGAGCAAUAGAAAUAAAAAGUGCAGCAGAGCACGUGUAAGCAACCAAUGGCUAGAAUUUAAGGCACACAAGAGAUAUGAAACUAUCACACUCAAUAAAGAAGUGAUACCCUAGCAACACCAGCCAAACUCCAAAACCAUAUAAUUAAAGUAAGACAAUUAAGUGUAUGUUUGGUUUCAAUUCUGGAGCAUCCAGAAUUGAUUCUGGACGUGUAGAAUUGAUUCUGACUUGUUUGGUUUCUCAAAAGUAG
rnacentral:lncRNA from 1 species